CCUACGGGAGGCAGCAGUGGGGAAUAUUGCACAAUGGGGGAAACCCUGAUGCAGCGACGCCGCGUGAGUGAAGAAGUAUUUCGGUAUGUAAAGCUCUAUUAGCAGGGAAGAAAAUGACGGUACCUGACUAAGAAGCACCGGCUCACUACGUGCCACCAGCCGGGGGAAUACGGCGGCGGCAAGCGUUAUCCGGAUUUACUGGGGGUAAAGGGAGCGUAGGCGGGAAGGUAAGCCAGAAGUUAAAGCCCGCGGGCCAACUGCGGGACUGCUGUUGAAACUAGCUAGCUAGAUUGCAGGAGAGGUAAGUGGAAUUCCUGGUGUAGCGGUGAAAUGCGUAGAUAUUAGGAAGAACACCAGUUGCGAAGGCAGCUUACUGGACAGUAAAUGACGCUGAGGCUCGAAAGCGUGGGUAGCAAACAGGAUUAGAUACCCGGGUAGUC
rnacentral:rRNA from 1 species